GGAUUGUGGUUCAGCGGUAGUGCGCUCACCUAGCACGGGCGCUGCCUGGGUUCGAUCCUCAGCACCA
rnacentral:tRNA from 1 species